AAUCCGUGUUUUCUAACUCUUUCGAGGCAGCGGCCUUAUAGACCUACCAUUUGUAGUUUCCUUAUCCUCUCCUCUUGAGUCCUAUGGUGGAGAGUGGAGAGUGGAAACCAGGUUAAUGUUUCUCGUGCAACUUCUUGAAACCUACUAUCUUAUGGGGCUCAAAAAUAUUAAUUUAACACAGAGAACCGCUUUCGAGGAUACAAAUAGGGGGAAUUGAGUAAAUCUCUGUACAGGCCAGAAUGAAAGGAGUUAAUCAGAGGGUCGCGAGGACGGUGAGUGCAUUUCUGGCUUGCAUAAUAGUGGUGGGAGUUGUGUGUACUUUGCUAUUGAUGAACAACUUCAGGCUUCCUUCACUCCGAUUCUCUACAAUGCAAACGCUGUUCCAUUCAGAGAUGGACGAUUAUGCAACAGAUCCAGAUAUUAUGUUACCGACGAGCUAAAAGUAAGCCUUUCAAAAGCGGCGAACCAGGAGAAAACCGUUCUAAUCACGACUCUGAAUGCGGCGUGGGCGCAGAAGAAUAGCAUGGUGGAUUUAUUCCUGAAAAGUUUCCACAUCGGUAACGGAACCGAGGCGAUGUUGUAAAAUUUGUUGAUUGUUGCCGUAGAUGAGAAGGCGCUCAAUCGCUGCCGGGAAAUUCAUCCGCAUUGUUGUCUGAUGAAAACAGAGGGAGUCGAUUUCUCGGGAGAAAAGCUUUACAUGACUCGAGGUUAUUUGAAAAUGAUGUGGAGAAGGAUUCGUUUCUUCGGACAAGUGUUGGAGCGAAGAUAUAACUUCGUUUUCUCGGAUGCCGAUAUUAUGUGGUUUCGAGAUCCCUCUACUAAAUUCUCAUCCGAGGCAGAUUGUUAGAGAAGGAAAGCAACUAAUCUCUACAAUAAGCCCAACGCAGGAUUCAUGUAUGUUCGCUCAAAUGAAAAGACAGUUCAUUUAUUCAACUUUUGGUAUCGAUCCAAGAAGGUUUAUCCCCGUAAAAAUGAGCAACAUGUGUUGAACAUACUGAAAUGGAAAGAGUUCAGACGCAGGCGACUUAAAUUCGAAUUCCUUGACACUAAAUAUUUUGGCGGGUACUGUGAAAGAACGAAAGAUGUGAACUCGGUUUGUACAAUGCAUGCCAACUGUUGUACUUGGAUUGAAGGCGAAGGUUAUUGAUUUGAGAAAUAUAUUCUAAACUUUCAGUUGUGAAAAAUCCUUCUCAGAAUAUAUACUAAACUUUGAGUUGUGAAAAAUCCUUGAAUUUUCAAACUCUCUCUCACUGGGGAUCUGAUCUCCCAUAGGCCUAUAAUUUAUUAUUUUAAUAUGUCAACUAUCAACUUCGAAUCUCCUUCCAUCACAACCCUGGUAAAGCACAAAUCUUUAGCAAGCUUUAUGCCCUCCCAGGAAGCAAUGGCUUCAACAAAGUUGUUAGAUUUUAUUUCUAAGAACUUAGCAGUGCAUUGAAUAAGUCUCCCUUUAUGACCUUUGAGAACAACACCCGCACUAGCUUGUCUAGGGUUACCCUUGGAACACCUAUCAAAAUUACAUUUUAUCCAAUCUUGAUCAUUCUGUUUAUCUUCUUCUACCAGUUAAUAUUAGUCAUAUCUUGAAUAAGACCCCAAAUUUGUUUAAUCCUUAUUUCUUGUAGAGUAGCCAUGUCUUUAAAGGGCCCAAAGGAAACAACAAUGAGAUUUUCAAUUAUUUGAUGCUUAAUAAUCUGGUGUUAGCUAUUUAUGGUUAUAAUUGUUGUAUCUCUUCGAGUUUUUGUAUUGUAGUAUUCAUGGCAUAUGUGGAGUUUGUAUCUUUGGAGUUUGGAGGUAUUAUGAUUAAGUUUUGUGAUAAUGGGUUGGUAUCUUUGGGUUUGGUUGACCCUGCCUCAUUUCGGUAAUCUUGCUAUAUGCAUUAGCUAAUGAAGUAUGGAAAAGGAAGCAUGUGGAGAUCUUGCGGAGGCCAACAUGUAGGUCUUGUUUAUGUUAGAUAUCAUGUUGGGUUUGGUUGACACAUUAUUUCAUGUUCAUAUACUUUGGUGUGUGUGUGUGUGUGUGUGUGUGUAGUUGCAUGUAUAAUGAGUCAAUGAAAACAAGGAGAAAGAGAAUAAGAGAGUGAGGAUGAUUAAGGAAGUAUAUGCAAAAGAGACAAAGCAAAGGAGAUAGAAGAGAAGCAGAGUGUGAAGUGUGAGUUGUAGACAAUGAAGGAAGAUAGUGUUGCAAUAAUGCAACAAUCCUUCACCAAACCUUAUGCAGGAUAGUGGUAUAGAGAUCUUUAAUCGGAUCUUCUAUAGAGUUUGUUAAUUAUGAUUUGAUCUUAAUCUUGGAACUGACCUCAUGCAUUUGGAGAUGCAAUCAUUUUCAGUUCAAUCUUUUUUGUUGUUGUAAGCAUUCUAAUAGUGUGUGGUUUUUUGUAUCUUUGUAGUGAGCAUUCCAACAUUGUGUCCUCUUUUGUAUC